GUGAACGCUGGCGGUAGGCCUAACACAUGCAAGUCGAACGGCAGCACAGUAAGAGCUUGCUCUUACGGGUGGCGAGUGGCGGACGGGUGAGGAAUACAUCGGAAUCUACUUUUUCGUGGGGGAUAACGUAGGGAAACUUACGCUAAUACCGCAUACGACCUACGGGUGAAAGCAGGGGAUCUUCGGACCUUGCGCGAUUGAAUGAGCCGAUGUCGGAUUAGCUAGUUGGCGGGGUAAAGGCCCACCAAGGCGACGAUCCGUAGCUGGUCUGAGAGGAUGAUCAGCCACACUGGAACUGAGACACGGUCCAGACUCCUACGGGAGGCAGCAGUGGGGAAUAUUGGACAAUGGGCGCAAGCCUGAUCCAGCCAUACCGCGUGGGUGAAGAAGGCCUUCGGGUUGUAAAGCCCUUUUGUUGGGAAAGAAAAGCAGCAGGUUAAUACCCCGCUGUUCUGACGGUACCCAAAGAAUAAGCACCGGCUAACUUC
rnacentral:rRNA from 1 species